rnacentral:rRNA from 1 species
AUGAACGCUGGCGGCGUGCCUCAUACAUGCAAGUCGAGCGAACAGACGAGGAGCUUGCUCCUCUGACGUUAGCGGCGGACGGGUGAGUAACACGUGGAUAACCUACCUAUAAGACUGGGAUAACUUCGGGAAACCGGAGCUAAUACCGGAUAAUAUAUUGAACCGCAUGGUUCAAUAGUGAAAGACGGUUUUGCUGUCACUUAUAGAUGGAUCCGCGCCGUAUUAGCUAGUUGGUAAGGUAACGGCUUACCAAGGCAACGAUGCGUAGCCGACCUGAGAGGGUGAUCGGCCACACUGGAACUGAGACACGGUCCAGACUCCUACGGGAGGCAGCAGUAGGGAAUCUUCCGCAAUGGGCGAAAGCCUGACGGAGCAACGCCGCGUGAGUGAUGAAGGUCUUCGGAUCGUAAAACUCUGUUAUUAGGGAAGAACAAAUGUGUAAGUAACUAUGCACGUCUUGACGGUACCUAAUCAGAAAGCCACGGCUAACUACGUG